rnacentral:lncRNA from 1 species
CCCUUAAAUACCAUACCAAUUGGGAGUAAAAACCAUAUAAGGAUUCAACCUCAAUAGGAUUAGCCUCUAACCAUAGGUAAAUCCUUGUCCAAAGUCUACUAGUGACAGAACAAGAAAUAAAUAAAUGUAAAGAGUGAUACUUCCUCCAUAAGACAAUAAGACAAAGUGCACAAUUGCUAUUCAAUGACAUCCCCUAGUCAUAGGAUUAUCUUUUAUUGGUAAUGUAUCCCAUAUUAAUUUUGAGAAAAGCCACCUAUAAGAUGGGUUAACUGAAAAGUUGGCACCACAAGGACUCCACCUCCAAGAGUCAUGCACUGUUACGAUCAAGAUGAACAUCAUGCAAAAUCUCUUGUAGCUCAAGAAGGGCAAGCUCGUCCCAGGUGUGAAGGUUAUGAUGCCAAUUCGAAGUUCUAACAUCAUUCACCUAAGUACCAGCUUAUUGAAGAGUCAUUCCUUUAUUAAGAGAGUAUAUAGAGGGAUAGAUAAGUUGACCUAAAAUUGUUUGGUCCAAACAAAACUUCCUCCC